rnacentral:rRNA from 1 species
UACGUAGGGGGCAAGCGUUGUCCGGAUUUAUUGGGCGUAAAGAGCGUGUAGGCGGCCAUACAGGUCAGCUGUGAAAACUCGAGGCUCAACCUCGAGACGUCGGUUGAAACCGUAUGGCUAGAGUCCGGAAGAGGAGAGUGGAAUUCCCGGUGUAGCGGUGAAAUGCGCAGAUAUCGGGAAGAACACCCGUGGCGAAGGCGGCCUGCUGGGCAGUUUUGCUGACACUGAGGCGCGACAGCGUGGGGAGCAAACAGGG